GACGAACGCUGGCGGCGUGCCUAAUACAUGCAAGUAGGACGCAGAUGCGAAAGGGUGAGUAACGCGUAGGUAACUACCUAUUAGAGGGGGAGAACAAUUGGAAACGAUAGCUAAUACCGCAUACUAGUAGAUGGACCUGCGUUGUAUUAGCUAGUAGGUAGGGUAAUGGCCUACCUAGGCAACGAUACAUAGCCGGCCUGAGAGGGUGAUCGGCCCCACUGGGACUGGUACACGGCCCAGGCUCCUACGGGAGGCAGCAGUAGGGAAUCUUCGGCAAUGGGGGGAACCCUGACCGAGCAACGCCGCGUGAGUGAAGAAGUUUUUCGGAUCGUAAAGCUCUGUUGUGAAGGAAGCGGUACUUAACCAGAAAGGGACGGCUAACUACGUGCCAGCAGCCGCGGUAAUUC
rnacentral:rRNA from 1 species